UUCGCACCGUCUCCGUGGGUAUUCCCCAAGACGUCGUGUUCCUCGUGUGUGCUUAUAUACUUUACGCUUUCGUAAAGAUGUUCUGUCUGAGCUUUCUGAGAUUCGAAGCUCAAUGGUGAAUCGGGUUCAAUAGUGAGUUUGCAAUCCGCAUUGCUGGACCGCGCCGCUAUUGAACGGCAUACACCGAAAUUCGUCGAAAUUUCUUAAAGGAAGCAUUGGCUGGCACGUGCUCGAUGACAUAAUUAUUUCUCGCCGCCUGUGAUCGUAUCAUCCAGCCUUAGUAAUUAUUUGGCGUCAACUCCGAAAAGGUUAAUAUACGAGCUCGACAGAGAAAGCUGCGAAAACCAGAUAAAAGGCAACA